rnacentral:lncRNA from 1 species
CGGAUACUUAUUGAUGCAAUGCUUGACAUUCUUUUGCACGCCACUCAUGUUUUCAUGUUAAGUUAUUGAAUGGGAUUGUUGGAGUAAAACAUGAGAAACCUAGGUUAACCCUCUAUAUCAUUAACCCGUUAAAUCACCAUAAGAUAGUUUGGAGAUGGUUGAGCCACUAUAGGUAAACAUGGAGAUAAGUAGAGGCUCAGUGCAUGAAUUUAUAUUGUGUGGAUUGCCUAGACCCAGAAGGUGAGAAAUAGGUGAAAG